UACGAAGGGGGCUAGCGUUGCUCGGAAUCACUGGGCGUAAAGGGUGCGUAGGCGGGUCUUUAAGUCAGGGGUGAAAUCCUGGAGCUCAACUCCAGAACUGCCUUUGAUACUGAGGAUCUUGAGUUCGGGAGAGGUGAGUGGAACUCCGAGUGUAGAGGUGAAGUUCGUAGAUAUUCGGAAGAACACCAGUGGCGAAGGCGACUCACUGGCCCGAUACUGACGCUGAGGCGCGAAAGCGUGGGGAGCAAACAGG
rnacentral:rRNA from 1 species